GACAAGGCUGUGGAAGGACAUUUGGCAUACACAGGUCGGAGUCUGAAGUCAAGGGCCCAAGUUCACUUCCAGAACCAGCUUUGCAGUGAGUUCAAACAACCCAUGGGCAUGCCCAGUUCCUGCCGGAUGGGGCUCACAACAUGGCUGAUAAAUCUUCAGUGUAAAUGGCAGAUUCCAAACAGUAUAGCCAAAGCCAAUACGUCAGAGAGAGAAACAUAAUCUGCCCUCCCGUUCUCAGAGCAUGCCUGGAAAUGGUGGUACGCACAUCCACUGACCGACUGGCAGCUGGUGAAACUUGGAGUCAGGCACCAGAGAGAAGAGAAAGCUCUGGGUUUUCUCCAGGCUCUCAGGGCUUGUCUUCCUUUUAUGGUGUCGUGUGAUACUGCAUAGGAAAGAGAGUCAGGAGGAGGGUUUGCAGAAAGAGGAGCAGAUGGAUGGGAUUCACACAAAAGACCCAGCUCAGUGGGUCGCCGUGCAUGGAGUGGAAGCAGAAAAUUCUUAAACCAAAAGGUGGGCAGACACAGAGUUUACAGACCAUCACAUGCUGAAUAUUAACCCAGUACACUCAUUCGCCAGUUAGAGUGCUUGUCAUCACACUCGUAGAAGGCAAAUUUUGAAUGGGAACAAACAAAAAGUCAAGUCUGAAGGAAGUCAGUUUCCAACCUUCACCUUCCUAUGGAGUUCUCUGUCUACACCAAAUGCCUGCUAUAAAAGCGAAUGGGCGCCUGUUCUCAAUUUUAGCACCCAGUUUUUCCCUAUAUUUUAUUUUUUAUUAUGGGAAUUAAAACAUGUUUAUAGCAGGAUAUUUCCAAAAUAGAACUGCGUGAAGAACAAAUAAAAUCAAAGGUAGUAACAUUUAAAAAAUAUUUUCUCUGUCAUUUGUAUAUAUAAACUCACAUGCAUAUUUCAUAAAUUCACAGUAUUAUGUUUCUAUAUAAUAUCCUGUUCUGUUCCUUGAACAAAAUAUAUCGUGAAUGUUUUCCUCAUGCACACACAUGUUUCAAUAGCAUAAUGGUUAAUGUCUGCAAAGUAUUCUAUUUUUAAUGAUUUUAGAAUAUUGCAUCGUAUGGAUAUAAUGACAAUAAUUUGUCUACUUCACUAUUGUAGAAAUUUAAUAUCCUUCUAGUAAGUUCUUUGUAUUACGGAGAACACUACUGUGUUUCAGUAGAGUUUUGGGGUCAUGUUUCUUAGAAGUUACAGAUUUAGGGAUAGGUUUUGUAGGACCUCUUCAAUCUCAGGAAAAUCUCCCUUUCCUCUAGGGGAAAUUUCCUAUGGUCACUCAAUGUGCUUCUCUAUACCCUAUCCCUAGCAACCAAGAAACCUCAGUUGCUCCACCUAUAAUCUAACCUAUAUGUGGGUUUAUUCUACCUGACAUUUGACAGGACGAUUUAUAAAAGAAGC
rnacentral:lncRNA from 1 species